UAGGGUUUCAAUUUUCAAUCUCAAGAGGAAAAUGUUGAAGCGGAAGGCGUCACAGAAGAAGAUGUUCUCCCCAUCAUCUCCGGUACGAGCCCUUCAAGGCCAUCACCGACCACAAUCCAAGCGGUCGUCAUCAGGUUGACCCAAAUUUCAAAAGAGGCGGAGCAGACCACACUCACCACAGUAGUGAUCCAUUUGAGGCUACGUCACCGAGCUUCGUCACAAACCUACAAUCUCGAUGCGAAUCUCUGCCUUCUUCGUCUCUAUCAGGUGA